UUUAAUUUUGAAUAAUUUAAUUAUUAGGAUUUUUUGUAAUUUACCACCUAAAAAAAAACCAAAUUUGUGUUUUACCACCUUAAAAUCUCAAGGUUUUAAAUUACCACCUAUAAAAAAGUUUUUUUUUUUUCACCACCUCUUAACAGACCCGUUAACAGUUCCGUCAAGUGAGGCCCACUCCCAACGCUAGCUCAUUAGAUUCUUACAAAAUACACGACACAAUCUACUGAAGGCUUCUUGUUCUCCCCGCUUCUUCCAAUCUUCAUGUAAAUCAGAAAUUUGCAUCACAAAGCUUGAAAUUGAUUGAGGGAUUUCAUUAACUUUUGUUUCCGAGCAAUUUGGUGGGCGAAAGAAGAAGAAUCAAGUCCUUAGUUUAUCGGUAAUAAAUACGGAGUAUCACUAAGCAGUUGAGUGAAGCCGGAAAACCAGGGUGCAGAUCAGCAGCAGAACAGUGCAGAUCAGUCUGCAGAUCAGCAGCAGAUCAAUGCAGAUCAGUGUGCAGAUCAGCCUGCAGAUCAGGAGCAAAUCACUCUGCAUAUUAGUUCAGAUCAGCAGCAGAUUAGUACAGAUAAGCAACAACUCCGUGUGCAGAUCAGUCUACAGACCAUCAACAAAUCAGUCUGUAGAUUAGUGCAGAUCAAAUAGCAGCAGUAAAGAUGAGGUAGAAUGGCAGCAAAGAAGAAGAAGAACGUGCAAAUAUUGUUAGGGCUAAAAGUUUGGAGGGAAAUUUAAUUGGUGGGCCCCACUUGACGGAACUGUUAACGGGUCUAUUAAGAGGUGGUGAAAAAAAAAAAUCUUAAGUCUUGAACUUUUAUUACUAUUCACUCAAUAGUGCAAUUACCUACAUAUCUUCAA